AGAGAGGUGGCCGAGUGGUCGAAGGCGCACGACUGGAACUCGUGUAUGGGGCAACCCAUCGAGGGUUCGAAUCCCUUCCUCUCUGCCA
rnacentral:tRNA from 1 species